AGACAGGUGCUGCAUGGCUGUCGUCAGCUCGUGUUGUGAAAUGUUGGGUUAAGUCCCGCAACGAGCGCAACCCUUAUCCUUUGUUGCCAGCGAGUAAUGUCGGGAACUCAAAGGAGACUGCCGGUGAUAAACCGGAGGAAGGUGGGGAUGACGUCAAGUCAUCAUGGCCCUUACGAGUAGGGCUACACACGUGCUACAAUGGCAUAUACAAAGAGAAGCGAACUCGCGAGAGCAAGCGGACCUCAUAAAGUAUGUCGUAGUCCGGAUUGGAGUCUGCAACUCGACUCCAUGAAGUCGGAAUCGCUAGUAAUCGUAGAUCAGAAUGCUACGGUGAAUACGUUCCCGGGCCUU
rnacentral:rRNA from 1 species